AUUGAACGCUGGCGGCAGGCCUAACACAUGCAAGUCGGACGAGUGGCGGACGGGUGAGUAAUGUAUGGGGAACUGCCUGAUGGAGGGGGAUAACUACUGGAAACGGUAGCUACUACCGCAUACCAUCAGAUGUACCCAGAUGGGAUUAGCUUGUAGGUGGGGUAACGGCUCACCUAGGCGAAGAUCCCUAGCUGGUGUGAGAGGAGGAUCAGCCACACGGGGACUGAGACACGGGCCAGACUCCUACGGGAGGCAGCAGUGGGGAAUAUUGCACAAUGGGCGCAAGCCUGAUGCAGCCAUGCCGCGUGUAUGAAGAAGGCCUUCGGGUUGUAAAGUACUUUCAGUCGGGAGGCGUUACCGACAGAAGAAGCACCGGCUAACUCCGUGCCAGCAGCCGCGGUAAUUC
rnacentral:rRNA from 1 species